AGAGUUUGAUCAUGGCUCAGAACGAACGCUGGCGGCGUGCCUAACACAUGCAAGUCGAACGGAUUUGAGGGGCUUGCUCCUCAAGUUAGUGGCGCACGGGUGAGUAACGCGUAGAUAAUCUGCCUGAUGAUCCGGGAUAACACUUCGAAAGGGGUGCUAAUACCGGAUAAGCCCACGGGGUCUUUGGAUUCUGCGGGAAAAGGGGGGGACCUUCGGGCCUUCUGUCAUCAGAUGAGUCUGCGUACCAUUAGCUAGUUGGUAGGGUAAUGGCCUACCAAGGCUACGAUGGUUAGCUGGUUUGAGAGAAUGAUCAGCCACACUGGAACUGAGACACGGUCCAGACUCCUACGGGAGGCAGCAGUGGGGAAUUUUGCGCAAUGGGCGAAAGCCUGACGCAGCAACGCCGCGUGAGUGAUGAAGGCUUUCGGGUCGUAAAGCUCUGUCGAGGGGAAAGAAGUGUAUUGUGGCUAAUAUCCGCGAUACUUGACGGUACCCCUAAAGGAA
rnacentral:rRNA from 1 species